UUCCAACACGUCCGUAGCAUAACUGGACACAUCUGAGAAUUAUUUCAGAUUUUUUUGUUACAAAAUGUAACCGUGAAAAAUAAGAAGAUUUUUAGGUUUGGUGCGUCAAUGCGAAAAAAAUCAAAAACUAUGUACGUCUCAUGUUGAAGUACGUAAAUGAAAGACGCGCUUCCAGCAGCGGCAACAGCGAAGGGGUGAUGACACGAGGU